GGAACAUUUUACGUUAAAGCGAGACUUUGGAGUGCCUUGUCAAAAUCUUUGCUACCGCGAACAUUGGAACACGUGUUUAGUUUAUUUGUUCGUGUUGUUACAAAUAUUGGAAUGAGUACAUAACACUGUGCCUUCCACAUUGGUACCUGUCUUCCUUCACUGCAGUAAUGAACAGCAGUCAUGACAAAGAAAUGAUGCCUGUUCCUUUCCGACAAAGAGUGUCCUCUGGAAAGGUUAAAUGGAAAACACUGACAGUAUAGGUGAACGGUUAACAGAUGGAGAAGAUAGUGACUCUGAAGUGGAUGACUCGAAUAACAUGAUGGAAGACAGCUCUUCAGAUGAAAUGAACUCAGAACACAGGAAGACAGUAGAGACAAAGUCUGAUUUGUGUGACUCCCCUGUUUCAAAAGCAAGUAAUCACCACAUUCCAAAGAAGAAAUCAGGUGUCAGCUGUUCCAGCAAAGGAAUUAGUAAAAAAUCUCACUGUAAGCCUUCGACUUCUUCAGCAGCUACAAAAGUGCUUCUGGCUGAAGAACUAACAGAAGAACAAGUGAAGGACAAAAAACUUUUAAAAGAAAAGUAUAAAAAUUCUAAAUUCCAAGAGAAACUUCUACUAAUGGAAUUAAAAAAUAUGGAAAGAAAGAUCGAAAUGUUCAAAAAGUCUCAAAAACUUUGAUUCAGGUGUUUCUGGAAGUGUAUUUCUGAUUUUCUAAGUUAUUGCUUUAGUUUCAUAAAACAAGAAAACCAUUUUUUAUUUCUCAUUAAUCUAAUACCAUUACUUGUAAAUAAAAGCAUAUUGUUUAAAACAUCAUUUGAAGUGUAUUGAGUUUUUACAAAUUCACACUGACAAUACUGGCCUUAUUUGUGAACUUCAGUUUUUCUUUUUAAUCAAUGAUUACACUCAAAGUGCUUUUAUUAUUGAAUGUUGGAAAUAUUGUAAUUUUUCCCUUUGAGUUUGUAUUACAUUUCAUAUUAGAAUAAUUAUCGAAUGGGGUGAGAUAAAAUUUGUAUCUGAAUUUUAUUUUAUUAGUCCGUCCAAAGACCCUAAAAUGUUUUGUAUAAGAAAUUGAAGUUCUCUAUAUUUUUAAGGGCAACAUGACAUGUAUUUUGCAUAAGAUACUGUCAAAGUGGGCAAGUUCAUUGUAUUUUAUACAUCAGAGUAAAGUUUUUUAUGGCAAAAAUGGGGGUAUCAUAUUUCUGACAGUUCUUUUUUCUUUCUUUUUUUACAUAUGAGUUGUGUUAGUCAGCACAUAAUUUUCAACUAGCACACAGCUUUAGUUAGUUUUGAUAGAAUUGUACACAGAAGUGGAAAAAGUUAUAUUUUUUGAUAAAACAGAAACAUCUUAAAAGUUUGAAAUGUGACCAUUAAAAAAAUAUUAAUGAAAUUUUGACUGGAUGGUUUAAUAUUUUCAGUCAGUUGUCUUUUAAGUAUAACAUUCUUGUAACUUCUUCUUAGCCUCACAAUUGUUGAAAAAGUUGUUUUGUGAAAUAGUUGCACAUAAAUGUCUAGACUAGUUCUGUUUGCAGUAAAACUACAUUUUCUCAAACAUUUAAAUUUGCAGUAACAAUU